UACGGAGGAUCCGAGCGUUAUCCGGAUUUACUGGGUGUAAAGGGAGCGCAGACGGCAGCGCAAGUCUGAUGUGAAAUCCCGGGGCUCAACCCCGGAACUGCAUUGGAAACUGCGCAGCUCGAGUAUCGGAGAGGUAAGCGGAAUUCCUAGUGUAGCGGUGAAAUGCUCAGAUAUUAGGAAGAACACCAGUGGCGAAGGCGGCUUCCUGGCACAAUACUGACGCUCAUGUGCGAAAGUGUGGGGAGCAAACAGGAUUA
rnacentral:rRNA from 1 species